rnacentral:rRNA from 1 species
UAUUUAGGUGNCCCCAUAGAAUACUCAAGCUAUGCAUCCAACGCGUUGGGAGCUCUCCCAUAUGGUCGACCUGCAGGCGGCCGCACUAGUGAUUACGGGGAGCAGCAGGCGCGAAACCUUUACACUGCACGACAGUGCGAUAAGGGGAUCCCGAGUGCGAGGGCAUACAGUCCUCGCUUUUCGUGACCGUAAGGUGGUCUCAGAAUAAGGGCUGGGCAAGACCGGUGCCAGCCGCCGCGGUAAUACCGGCAGCCCGAGUGAUAGCCACUCUUAUUGGGCCUAAAGCGUCCGUAGCUGGCCGAACGGGUCCGUCGGGAAAUCCACCCGCUCAACGGGUGGGCGUCCGGCGGAAACCAGUCGGCUUGGGACCGGAGGACCUGCGGGGUACGUCUGGGGUAGGAGUGAAAUCCUGUAAUCCCAGACGGACCACCGGUGGCGAAAGCGCCGCAGGAGGACGGAUCCGACAGUGAGGGACGAAAGCUUGGGUCUCGAACCGGAUUAGAUACCCGGGUAGUCCAAGCCGUAAACGAUGCUCGCUAGGUGUGGCGCAGGCUACGAGCCUGCGCUGUGCCGUAGGGAAGCCGAGAAGCGAGCCGCCUGGGAAGUACGUCCGCAAGGAUGAAACUUAAAGGAAUUGGCGGGGGAGCACAAUCCCGCGGCCAUGGCGGCCGGGAGCAUGCGACGUCGGCCCA